rnacentral:lncRNA from 1 species
UUACUUAACUCUAAUAAGAGUGUUUUAUUCAAGCUUAUGGUUAAUCAUUGCUGAUUGCCAUGAAAAUUGUACUCUGUACAUCUUGCAUGUAUAAGUCAGGUAUGAAAGGCUGAUCACCUUCAUUACCGGUUUGUCCAAAAAUGUUUGUUAAUGUUUAAAACUUGUUCAGUCAAAAGUUUGUUCCUGCUAGUUCUCAAUUAUAUUGAUGAAUUAUAGCCAGCUUAUUAUUCAUACUCUUCAAUCAUGAUAUAUCCUUAUAUUGUUGUAUUUAAACUUGCUGGGCAACUUUCAUGCUCACCCUUGCUAUAUCAUGAUAAAACAUUGCAGAUAAGGCGAAUGCGGUCGGAUACAGGAAAAGGUUAAUGCCAAGUUCAGCUUGGGUUAUAAAGUGCAGCUAGUUUGUAAUAGCGUAUUGUGAUAAAUAUUGUUAUGUAAUAAAUAGUUUAUGAAAUGUGUAUAAGUUAAGGUUACUCGACCUUGGGGAAUAGUGUGUAAUGUAAUGUAUAAA